rnacentral:rRNA from 1 species
ACCGCGAUGGACAUACCGCUGGUGUAUCUGUUGUUCCGCCAGGGGCAGCGCAGAGUAGCUAUGUGUGGAAGGGAUAAGUGCUGAAAGCAUCUAAGCACGAAGCCCAUCUCAAGAUGAGAUCUCCUUGAGGGACGUUAAAGACGAUGACGUUGAUAGGCUGUAGGUGUAAAGGUGGUAACAUCAAAGCCGAGCAGUACUAAUUACCCGAAGCUUCUGCAU